CUUGACUCUUAUAAGAGGUCCAGCCUGCCCAGUGACCAUGUUCAACGGCCGCGGUAUCCUAACCGUGCGAAGGUAGCGUAAUCACUUGUUCUUUAAAUGCGGACUAGUAUGAAUGGCACCACGAAGGUUAUACUGUCUCCUUUUUCUAAUCAGUGAAACUAAUCUCCCCGUGAAGAAGCGAGGAUAUAUCUAUAAGACGAGAAGACCCUAUGGAGCUUUAAACAACACAGCAAUUACCUGCUAAACUAAGAAGUUUCUGAACAUUUUCAAUCUUUUAAGUAAUCUGACUGCAAGUUUUUGGUUGGGGUGACCACGGAGCAUAACACAACCUCCAUGUUGAAAGAAUUCUUUCUAAGCCAAGAACAACCUUUCUAAGCAUCAAUAUAUUGACAUCCAUUGACCCAAUACAUUUGACCAACGAAC
rnacentral:rRNA from 1 species